AGUGACCUCAGAAGCUCUUUGAUGACUUCACAGCUGCAGAGCCAGGACCUGUGCCAUCCUGGAAUUUCAAGGUAACACCGGCCAAGAACCGCACUUACAGCAGCUGUCGGAUGGAUUAGGCAGCACAGACAGCAGCAGGGUGUGUGAUCCCAGGGGACAGAAGCAUCUCUCAGCAAGCAGCCAUCUUCUGCAGACUCUGGGAUUUUUCAAGAGUGAGCACACUGGCUACAAAGGAGUCUUCCUACGUGAGGCCUUUGUCAAAGGAAGGGCUACAAAGUGACCAUUCAGCUCCUGGGGUUGAGAGCAAAGGGCCAUGCUAAGCAGGAAGGUGUUCACAAAUACCACCAUGGAUUAGCUGGCUGCAGGGGACACCUACAGUGCGUCAUGUCACCGGGAGUAAGGACCUGUGCCCACAUACUGAGAAGGGAGGAAAAGCCUUCCAGUCAGUCUAAGAACACAGGACUGGAGAGAACAUGGGACCAAGCAACCCUCAAACUGGAUGGUGGCGGAGCUGACAACGCUUCAGAGGUCACCUGUCCACAUCCCAGCGGCUCAGACCUCUGCCUAGGAGGGUGGGAGCUCAGCAACAUUUCACUUCCUUAGUUGGAUGUGGCUCAGGGCCCUCUUCACAGCACCCAGAGCUGCAGUUCCUACCGGCUCCCAACUCCCCAGAUGCCCUGCUGAUGGCCAACUCAGAGCAGGUGUCUUUUAGCUAGUCCUUUCUGGAAGGGGGUACGAGAAUACUCACACAAACCGAGCUGGCUCAACCCAGGCAAGAAUACACAGGUCGGGAUGGGGGCCUGGCCUUUUACGCAGCUGCCUAGUGCCAUGACAGAGCCUACAGGCUCUCGG
rnacentral:lncRNA from 1 species